rnacentral:rRNA from 1 species
UAACCUGCCUGGUAGCGGGGGAUAACUAUUGGAAACGAUAGCUAAUACCGCAUAAGAGUAGAUGUUGCAUGACAUUUGCUUAAAAGGUGCAAUUGCAUCACUACCAGAUGGACCUGCGUUGUAUUAGCUAGUUGGUGAGGUAACGGCUCACCAAGGCGACGAUACAUAGCCGACCUGAGAGGGUGAUCGGCCACACUGGGACUGAGACACGGCCCAG